UACGGAGGGUGCGAGCGUUGUCCGGAAUCAUUGGGCGUAAAGGGCGCGUAGGUGGCCCGGUCAGUUCGUGGUGAAAGCGCGGGGCUCAACCCUGCGUCGGCCAUGAAUACUGCCGCGGCUGGAGCACUGUAGAGGCAGGCGGAAUUCCGGGUGUAGCGGUGGAAUGCGCAGAGAUCCGGAAGAACACCGGUGGCGAAGGCGGCCUGCUGGGCAGUUGCUGACACUGAGGCGCGACAGCGUGGGGAGCAAACGGG
rnacentral:rRNA from 1 species